CACUAUGCUUAGCCGUAAAAUAUUAACCCACACCAAGCCCGCCAGGGAAUUACAAGCCCAAGCUUAAAACCCAAAGGACUUGACGGUGUCCCACCCUUCUAGAGGAGCCUGUUCUAUAAUCGAUUCUCCCCGAUCUACCUCACCGUCUCUUGAAUAUCCAGUCUGUAUACCUCCGUCGCAAGCUUACCAUGUGAACGCACACAGUGAGCCUAAAGAUUCACCACCCACACGUCAGGUCAAGGUGCAGCCCACGGAACGGAAAGAAAUGGGCUACAAUCUCUACCAUAGAACAAACGGAAAACUGCAUGAAACACAGUUACUGAAGGCGGAUUUAGUAGUAAAAAGAAAAUAGAGAGUUCUUUUUAACUAGGCACUGGGACGCGUACACACCGCCCGUCACCCUCUUCAAACAGAAGACUUAAAGUCACUAACACCAUAUAAUUAUAUAGAAGAGGCAAGUCGUAACAUGGUAAGUGUACUGGAAAGUGCACUUGGAAUAAACAAAAUGUAACUUAAUAAAAGUACCCUGCUUACACCAAGUCUAUGUCUGUGAAACCCCGACCAUUUUGAGCCUAAAUCUCAGCCCUAUUAAAACCCCAAUGAAUUUUCUUUUAUUUCUCCAACCCACCCCUAAAACAUUCUUUCAACCAAGUAAAGGCGAUUAAAAAGUUACUAGGAGCCCCAACACCAGUACCGCAAGGGAAAGUUGAAAUAAAAAUGAAAUAAAUUUAAAGCACUACAAAGUAAAGACUUCCACUUGUACCUUU
rnacentral:rRNA from 1 species